GAAUCUGCAUGUCUAGUAUAGCAUCUAUACUGUGAAACUGCGAAUGGCUCAUUAAAUCAGUUAUCGUUUAUUUGAUAGUACCUUACUACUUGGAUAACCGUGGUAAUUCUAGAGCUAAUACAUGCUAAAAACCCCGACUUCGGGAGGGGUGUAUUUAUUAGAUAAAAAACCAAUGCCCUUCGGGGCUCCUUGGUGAAUCAUGAUAACUUAACGAAUCGCAUGGCCUUGCGCCGGCGAUGGUUCAUUCAAAUUUCUGCCCUAUCAACUUUCGAUGGUAGGAUAGUGGCCUACCAUGGUAUCAACGGGUAACGGGGAAUUAGGGUUCUAUUCCGGAGAGGGAGCCUGAGAAACGGCUACCACAUCCAAGGAAGGCAGCAGGCGCGCAAAUUACCCAAUCCCGACACGGGGAGGUAGUGACAAUAAAUACUGAUACAGGGCUCUUUUGGGUCUUGUAAUUGGAAUGAGUACAAUUUAAAUACCUUAACGAGGAACAAUUGGAGGGCAAGUCUGGUGCCAGCAGCCGCGGUAAUUCCAGCUCCAAUAGCGUAUAUUAAAGUUGUUGCAGUUAAAAAGCUCGUAGUUGAACCUUGGGCCUGGCUGGCCGGUCUGCCUCACCGCAUGUACUGGUUCGGCCGGGCCUUUCCUCCUGGGGAUCCGCAUGCCCUUCACUGGGUGUGUUGGGGAACCAGGACUUUUACUUUGAAAAAAUUAGAGUGUUCAAAGCAGGCCUUUGCUCGAAUACAUUAGCAUGGAAUAAUAGAAUAGGACGUGCGGUCCUAUUUUGUUGGUUUCUAGGACCGCCGUAAUGAUUAAUAGGGAUAGUCGGGGGCAUCA
rnacentral:rRNA from 1 species